rnacentral:rRNA from 1 species
GCCGGCGAGUGGCGAACGGGUGAGUAAUGCAUCGGAACGUACCCAGUAGUGGGGGAUAACUUACCGAAAGGUAAGCUAAUACCGCAUACGCACUGAGGUGGAAAGCAGGGGACCGCAAGGCCUUGCGCUAUUGGAGCGGCCGAUGUCGGAUUAGCUAGUUGGUGGGGUAAAGGCCUACCAAGGCGACGAUCCGUAGCGGGUCUGAGAGGAUGAUCCGCCACACUGGAACUGAGACACGGUCCAGACUCCUACGGGAGGCAGCAGUGGGGAAUUUUGGACAAUGGGCGCAAGCCUGAUCCAGCCAUGCCGCGUGAGUGAAGAAGGCCUUCGGGUUGUAAAGCUCUUUCGGCCGGGAAGAAAUCGUGGUGGCGAAUACCUGCCAUGGAUGACGGUACCGGACUAAGAAGCACCGGCUAACUACGUGCCAGCAGCCGCGGUAAUACGUAGGGUGCGAGCGUUAAUCGGAAUUACUGGGCGUAAAGCGUGCGCAGGCGGUUGUGUAAGACAGGCGUGAAAUCCCCGGGCUCAACCUGGGAACUGCGCUUGUGACUGCACGGCUAGAGUACGGCAGAGGGGGGUGGAAUUCCACGUGUAGCAGUGAAAUGCGUAGAGAUGUGGAGGAACACCGAUGGCGAAGGCAGCCCCCUGGGUCGAUACUGACGCUCAUGCACGAAAGCGUGGGGAGCAAACAGGAUUAGAUACCCUGGUAGUCCACGCCCUAAACGAUGUCGACUAGUUGUUGGAGGGGUAAAACCCUUUAGUAACGUAGCUAACGCGUGAAGUCGACCGCCUGGGGAGUA